AGUGGCAGACGGGUGAGUAACGCGUGGGAACAAACCCUCCGGUUCGGAAUAGCUCAGGGAAACUUGGAUUAAUACCGGAUACGGCUGAGAGGCGAAAGAUUUAUCGCCGGAGGAUUGGCCCGCGUUCGAUUAGCUUGUUGGUGAGGUAACGGCUCACCAAGGCGAUGAUCGAUAGCUGGUCUGAGAGGAUGAUCAGCCACAUUGGGACUGAGACACGGCCCAAACUCCUACGGGAGGCAGCAGUGGGGAAUAUUGGACAAUGGGCGCAAGCCUGAUCCAGCCAUGCCGCGUGAGUGAUGACGGCCUUAGGGUUGUAAAGCUCUUUCGCUCGGGACGAUAAUGACGGUACCGAGAUAAGAAGCCCCGGCUAACUUCGUGCCAGCAGCCGCGGUAAUACGAAGGGGGCUAGCGUUGUUCGGAAUUACUGGGCGUAAAGCGCGUGUAGGCGGGUCUUUAAGUCAGGGGUGAAAUGCCAAGGCUCAACCUUGGAACUGCCUUUGA
rnacentral:rRNA from 1 species